CAUUUUGCUGUGGAGGUGCUGAGGUUUGUGUCAUCCCAAGGCCUCCCAGGAGCAAGUCCCAGGUUUGUCAGCUGGCUGCUGAGGAAGCUCUGCCUCCUGCACAGGGGAAUUUGACUCUGGAGGCUGACAGUGGAAUAGAGCUAUGGUGGUUCUUUGGGGAACCUGCUGGUCCAAUCCCAUGUAUGACAAGGAAGAUGAGAACCAAAACCUUGAAUGUGACCCAGUAUUCUAUGCCGAGCCAGUGCAGAGAGCAGAGCACGGGGGUGAUGUGAGCUCUGGGGCAGAGCAGAUGUGCUGCUGCAGUGAUCUGAACCAGAUGUAGCUUUCUAUUUUAUUAAGGUUGGCAGUUGCAUUCCUACAUUUGCAGGAAUAGAGUCCUAGAUGCUAAGGCCUGAAGGGCUCAUGAUGGUUGCCUAGUCUGAGCACCUGCACAGCACAGGUGAGGGGAUUCCACCCAGCAAGCCCUGCAGGGAGGGAAUUAUACUUCCUUUUUUCCUGAAGCAAACACAGUCAAGCCCAAUAAUGUGCAGUAAUAAGAGCCAGAGGUCACGAAUGAUCACCACAGCCAAGUCCAAAUCCACCAAGACAGGGCACAGUUGUCUUGUGAACUGCAGGUGGAAGGAUGGGCCAGUGGUUAGGACACUAGCAUGUGAGAGGCCCAUGUUCAAGUCCUUUCUCUGCCACAACCUUCCUGUGACCUUGGGCAAGUCACUUAGCCAUCCCGUGCCUCAGUUCCCCAUCUAUAAACAGCACUACCCUGCCUCCCAGCAGCAUGGUGAGGAUAAAUACAUUAAAGAUUGUGAAGUGCUUUGAGAUCUAGUGAUGAAAGUGUCUAUGUAACACUUCUGUAUUAUUACAGAGCCCCCCACUCCCAGGGAGCCCUGACUGGUGGGAUUUGCUCAAACAGGAGAAUCCAACCUCACAGAGCUCCAGUGGGCUAGAGAGCAGGCAGGAAAUCCUGCUCAUACUUCCUGCUGUGAGCUCUCCUGCAAGGAACUGCACUUGUAUGGGCUGCUGAGAGUGCACCUGUGCAGUGACAGCUGCUGCUGAAGGGUGCUAGCAGGCCAGGUGUCCAAGCUCUGGGCUGUGGCCUGGGCUGAGGGAGCAGCCUGAGCCUGGGGCCCUGAUGAGCCUGCACCACAGUGACUGUGAGGAUCAGACAGAAGGAGGCCCCACCUCUGUGACUGAGGGUCUGCUUGGUGCUGAUGGACAUGACUGUUGCUGAUUACAGUGGUGGGGUGAUUUCUGGGUGAAUCCCUGCCUACCCAAGGGCAACAAGGAGGGGUCUCCAUCCCAAGGCCAGGGGUGGGAGUUUGGCAUGAACUACCACCAAGGGGCACCCCCACCACACGUCUCCUUAGGCUUCAACCUGCUGCUCUUGAUCCAGUUGCUGACCUCAGCUGUGAGAUGAUGUCACUUGCAUCUGAUGGGCAGGUGCUGUGGAGCUGAGUGUCCCCUCCAUGUCUUCUCACAGUCUCCCCUGGUGGCUCCACAUGGAGACUGUAGCAGUCUUGGCAGGAGGAUGAAUCUCUAUGGGACUCUACAGGCAGGAGCUCUGGAAGAGGAGAAGCAGGUGAUUGUCUCCCUGGGUUGGGUCUGACAGCAACAGCUGAACCCAUCUCAUCUAGUGCUUGCUCCAUCUCUGAGGAGGGAUGGCAGGAGUCCAUGGUCAGAUGUGUCAGAUCCAGGGGAGAGGUCCAGUCAUGAGCAUGGACAUACAGCCCUUGUCCAUGGCCACAAGGAGUUCCCCAUCAGGGCCAAGAGCAUUAUCGCUGUUCCCACCCUGGCCUGAAGCCUGACUGAAAGGGGUUCAGGAUUCUGAUUCCACCUUGGUGGAGCUGGACAUGACCUGGGAGCGAUUCUCAGCUGCCUUCCUCAGGAAUGGGAGGAUAAAUACUAAGUGGUUGGAGAUCAGUUGUGGUGAGCGAUGGUAUCUGUCCAGCUACAGCCUCUGAGAGAAACAAGGACAGAAGACAGGUUUCAGAGUAACAGCCGUGUUAGUCUGUAUUCGCAAAAAGAAAAGGAGUACUUGUAGCACCUUAGAGACUAACCAAUUUAUUUGAGCAUGAGCUUUCGUGAGCUACAGCUCACUUCAUCAGAUGUAUACUGUGGAAACUGUGACAUUUCCCUCUCUCCCAGCUCUGUACCAUCCUGCUCCCCUCAACAUGCCUGAUGUUUUGUGCAUUCUCAUGUGGUCCGGCUCCCAUUGUUUGCAGCUCAGUAUCCUGGUUUCAGGUAACUUCUCCUGACACCGGCCUGAGGUCUUCACCCAGUUUAAAUUCAGUCCUGACUCAGGAAAACCUCAGGACCUCAUCCACUAAUGGUAUUUAAAACCAUGAAGAAAGGGCUAAAUUCAGUACUGGUGUACCCCAACGUUGAUGUCAAUGGCACUGCACUCCUCUGUGUUUCCCUCCGUUUCCUGGCUUCCAAAAAUCUUCCCAAGAGGAGCUCCACCUUAGCUACUACAGACUCCCUUCGAGAGAAUUGAGUC